rnacentral:lncRNA from 1 species
UGUCUUUCAGGGUAGAGAGGAAAAGAAAUUGCUGCCAACUGUGUGUCACUCCCGAUUCAUUUCCAAGUGAAAACAGUCUUGUGAGAUAUAAGGAAAAAAUGAGAGCGAUUAACGUCUUCAAGGACAUUCUGGCCACUGGCUUUAAUGCAGUGGCUCCCCUCCAGGAGGCCGAGAUUCCUGCCACGUUCUGCAGAGUCAUUGCCGAUGGAGGGCCAGGACUCUGACCAAACUGGAUCAGGCCCCAGGUGGAUCUCCAAGCACUGUCACAUCCCAAGGUCCUGGGGGUCGAGGCUUCCCCGUGGUGAGUCUUGGAGAAACAACCCCACUCCUGUGCAGGCCGGGCCCAUGGAGCUGCGUGACACAGUAGGAUUCCUGCCAGGGCUCAGGUGCCAUCUGCCCCAGGGUGGCACCGGUCACUGGGACACAGGGAGGACCACUGGCCAUGGCCUGCUCUCACACCGAGUGGAUCUAACAGCCACGUUCUGUGCCGAUCCCUGGAGGGGGAUCAGACCCAGUUCAGGUAUUAACAGCUUGUUUGAUGCCUUGGAGAAAAUGGCUUCAUCUCUCUCUCUCUGAGGAAAGGGGUGGGGAUGGGGACCUCAGGGAUCCCCGCCUGCCCCAUGUGGACCAGAGAGGGGCAGGAGCAGAGUCAGGCUGACUACAGCUGGGGCCACCUCCGGGCCCCUGUCUUUGCAGAUCAGGUGAUGGAACCUCAGCCAGAUCUUGCUGGACCGCUGCUGAGCUGGGGGUGUUGCGCAGUUGAGGUGGCCGCAGAGCCUGGAGCCUGGGCCACCUGGCUCUUCACUGAGAGAGGCCUGCAGCCCUCGGCCAGAGCAUCCCUGUCUCCGUGGCAGGGUUUCGCCAGGUGGGCACAGGCCUGCAGAUGGACCUUCCUAAGUCUUGAUGGGAUGCUCCUCAUUGGCCACCACCUGCAACACUUGUUUUGAGUCUGGGCAGGUGAAAGGUGAGACCGAAGGGGACCCUGGGGCCACCAAAGGCGCCCAGAGACUCUGGGUGUGUGCAGUCCCUUCCUGUCCACCUGGUGGAGUAGGAAUGAAGCCACUGAAGGACACGCAUCUGCCUGGAGGAGAAGGAGCUGCUGCUGUCCCUGCCAUGGAGAGUGCCAGGAGUGGGAGCAGACAGCUGGGGACACAGGACGGCACACUCUGCCCACCGUCCCACAGCUUCCUGCUUUCUGCAAGCCAAGGCCUGGAACAGAACUAGACCCUGAAUACAGAAGCAUUAACAGCCCCGAACACCAACA